ensembl:lncRNA
CAAAAGGAUAUGAACAGGCCAUGAAUACAUUUGUGAAUAUGAUUAUGGGACAUGGUGUUUACAAUAGCAAAGGACUUGCCUCAGUGACCAGGACGCCCCAUUGGUUUUAAGGUCUGUGGUGAGUCCCCUGGCUGUUGUUCCUGAUUAAUUUUUCUGCUAUUAGCUUUAUGCUCAUUGCCAGCUCAUCAUCUCAUAUUCCUCAGGGUGUAACAUCCCUGUGUAUUUGUCACAGAAAGACAUAUUCAGAGCAAGAGCACCUAACCCCCCACCGCCCACAUCCCAAGUCGUGCAGGAGAUGGGAAAAGCUGUUCCUGAUGUCAGUGAGAGAAAGGGAGAUAAAAGAGAAGGGACAGCCGAAAUCACACCUCACAGGAAGAGCGACGUGAACUUUGAAAACUGGGGCAGUUGUUGGAACUUGCUUACCUGCAGGGGCAGCAGUGCGGAUGAAAGAGAUCCCUACGAACGAAACAGAAACUGACAGGGACUGCUGGGUUGGUGCAUCCUGUUUUAGGAAAAACAUACACUGCACGGAAAGAUCCUGAAUAGGAGCUCACUCAGAGUAGCUUGUGGGCAUCUUUUCAUCUGCGGAGCUUUGGUCUGUCCCAGUGAUCCAGGGCAAACACAGAGGAAGCAGUGAGUAACCAUUAAAACCACUUGUAAUCCAAAAGGAGAAGAGGGAAGGCCAACCGUGGGCCACAUCUGUGUUCAGCAAAGUGGGGACGAGAGGAAUGGAGCUGACCUGGACCCGUGAGAUGCUGGUUGUGCAUCACAGAACAUCACAGCCUGGUUUUCCUGCAGCCUGGGAGAGACAUCUGUGCCCUCACACAGACCUGGGGAUGACAGUGAGCAGGGACAUCGCUUCCUAGUUCUCUAGGGCCACGAGCAAUGCUCUGUGAAAGCAUCUUGUGGAAAUACAUCAAUGAGAGCCAUUUUUCUCACACAGGUGCUUCCAAGCAUCAUAAACUUUCUCUCAGACAGAAAGGGCACAGUUGAUGCUGUAAUUAUUGCAAAAUAAAAAGAUUAAAAUUGA